rnacentral:rRNA from 1 species
CGAAUCAUUCACAAUGGGCGAAAGCCUGAUGGUGCGACGCCGCGUGGGGGAUGACGGUCUUCGGAUUGUAAACCCCUGUCACCCGGGACAACACGUCAUCCGUGCAUAGCGGAUGGCCUGAUUUAACCUGGCGAGGAAGCAGUGGCUAACUCUGUGCCAGCAGCCGCGGUAAUACAGAGACUGCAAGCGUUGUUCGGAUUUACUGGGCGUAAAGGGUGCGCAGGCGGCCGGAUGUGUCGGGUGUGAAAUUUCGGGGCUCAACCCCGAACCGGCGCCCGAAACUAUUCGGCUAGAGUACUGGAGAGGGAAGCGGAAUUCACGGUGUAGCAGUGAAAUGCGUAGAUAUCGUGAGGAACACCAGUGGCGAAGGCGGCUUCCUGGACAGUUACUGACGCUCAGGCACGAAAGCGUGGGGAGCGAAA